GAUCAUUACCGAGUGCGGGACCCCAAGGUCCCAACCUCCCACCCGAUGUCGUAACCGUACCUUUGUUGCUUUGGCGGGCCCAUCUCGGGUCCUCCCCAGGUCGCCCGGGGGCACUCCGCUCCCGGGCCCGCGCCCGCCAAAGACCCUCUUGAACUCUGGUUGAUUUAGGGAGUCUGAGUCCUUGAUAAUUAUUAAAACUUUCAACAACGGAUCUCUUGGUUCCGGCAUCGAUGAAGAACGCAGCGAAAUGCGAUAAGUAAUGUGAAUUGCAGAAUUCCGUGAAUCAUUGAAUCUUUGAACGCACAUUGCGCCCCCUGGCAUUCCGGGGGGCAUGCCUGUCCGAGCGUCAUUGCUAACCCUCAAGCUCGGCUUGUGUGUUGGGCCUCGUCCCCCUCGGGGACGGGCCUGAAAGGCAGCGGCGGCGUCGCGUCCGGUCCUCGAGCGUAUGGGGCUCUGUCACCCGCUCAGGAGGCCGGCCGGGGCUCGCCAUCAACCCACAUCAUAACAAGGUUGACCUCGGAUCAGGUAGGGAUACCCGCUGAACUUAAGCAUAUCAAUAAGCGGAGGAAAAGAAACCAACAGGGAUUGCCUCAGUAACGGCGAGUGAAGCGGCAACAGCUCAAAUUUGAAAUCUGGCCCCUCCGGGGUCCGAGUUGUAAUUUGGAGAGGAUGCUUCGGGUGUGGCCCCCAUCUAAGUGCCCUGGAACGGGCCGUCAUAGAGGGUGAGAAUCCCGUCUGGGAUGGGUGGCCAGGCCCGUGUGAAGCUCCUUCGACGAGUCGAGUUGUUUGGGAAUGCAGCUCUAAGCGGGUGGUAAAUUUCAUCUAAAGCUAAAUAUUGGCCGGAGACCGAUAGCGCACAAGUAGAGUGAUCGAAAGAUGAAAAGCACUUUGGAAAGAGAGUUAAACAGCACGUGAAAUUGUUGAAAGGGAAGCGCUUGCAACCAGACUCGCCCCGGGAGGCUCAACCGGCACUCGUGCCGGUGCACUCCCCCCGGGGCGGGCCAGCAUCAGUUUGGGCGGCCGGUCAAAGGUCCCCGGAAUGUAUCACCUCUCGGGGUGUCUUAUAGCCGGGGAUGCAAUGCGGCCAGCCUGGA
rnacentral:rRNA from 1 species